AGGGUGUAAACGCUGCAGACUUGGUGUUGGAAGCCCUUUGGGGGCAUUCAGUGCCGGAGAGAAGUUGUUAAGUCUGCUACUUGGGGAGUACGUCCGCAAGGAUGAAACUUAAAGGAAUUGGCGGGGGAGCACCGCAAUGGGAGGAGCGUGCGGUUUAAUUGGAUUCAACACCGUAAAACUCACCAGGGAAGACUGUUACAUGAAGGCCGAGAUGAAGACUCUGCUAGAUUUUCAGAGAGGAGGUGCAUGGCGUCAGUGACU
rnacentral:rRNA from 1 species